rnacentral:rRNA from 2 species
GAUGGUGCUUGCACCUGAUUGAUUUGGGUCGCCAACGAGUGGCGGACGGGUGAGUAACACGUAGGUAACCUGCCCAGAAGCGGGGGACAACAUUUGGAAACAGAUGCUAAUACCGCAUAACAACGUUGUUCGCAUGAACAACGCUUAAAAGAUGGCUUCUCGCUAUCACUUCUGGAUGGACCUGCGGUGCAUUAGCUUGUUGGUGGGGUAACGGCCUACCAAGGCGAUGAUGCAUAGCCGAGUUGAGAGACUGAUCGGCCACAAUGGGACUGAGACACGGCCCAUACUCCUACGGGAGGCAGCAGUAGGGAAUCUUCCACAAUGGGCGCAAGCCUGAUGGAGCAACACCGCGUGAGUGAAGAAGGGUUUCGGCUCGUAAAGCUCUGUUGUUAAAGAAGAACACGUAUGAGAGUAACUGUUCAUACGUUGACGGUAUUUAACCAGAAAGUCACGGCUAACUACGUGCCAGCAGCCGCGGUAAUACGUAGGUGGCAAGCGUUAUCCGGAUUUAUUGGGCGUAAAGAGAGUGCAGGCGGUUUUCUAAGUCUGAUGUGAAAGCCUUCGGCUUAACCGGAGAAGUGCAUCGG